GGACGUGGAUAGCGGAGAAAUUCCGCCUUACAAGCGGAAGGUCGCAGGUUCGAAACCUGCUGCGCCCACC
rnacentral:tRNA from 1 species